UUUGACCGAACCCAGCCACAGGGGGCGAUCCGCCGGCCGGUCCCGGCCGUAGGUGGCCAACAGGGCCUGUGCCUC
rnacentral:antisense_RNA from 1 species